GGAAUUAAGGUGGAAUGAGGUCCUCAGGGAGGGCCCUGAUCCCACAGGAAGGGGAGGAGACGCAGUGUCGCGCGGGAGGACGCAGAGAGAAGGUGGCCGGCUGUGAGCCAAGGAGGGAGCGUCCCCAGGAGGGGGACCCGCGCCCUGUCCACGCUCUGACCUUGGCCUUCUGGCCUCCGGAACCGUGAGAGAAUCACUGUCUGCUGUUUGAGCCCCCAGUCGGCGGUUUCCGUGUGGAUGUGUGCGGUUUUCCGUUCUCUUGGGAGCACCGAGGAGUGCUGUCACCAGAGUUGGCCAGAGGUGUUCUGGGGAUGACCAAGGAAUGAGACGAGACACCUGCUCCUAGGAUGCCUCCCUAGCCAGCUCCUUGGACCUUGAAUUUCCCCUACCCUCCCAGCCAGCUGGACUCUUUAAAGAGAGAAAAGCCCUUGGCCACCCAGCGACUGCUGAUUACCCCCACCAUGCAGGAGGUAAAUAUCUAUUUGUUGAUUUUGCUGUUCACGUUCCUACCAAAUUGAACAUACCUGUCUUUCGUAGGCAAACUUCUGAAAUGUGUAUCCCCGGGUGUUUGAGAAAUACACGUUGGUCUGAGAUAUCUGAUCUCCAUGCAAAUAAGCAAACACGGAAUUACUUAUAUCCUGGAAGAACAGGCACAUAGAAGUCUCUUUACUUUUUUUCCUAAAGGUUUUAAAUGUUUAUUUUGAGAAAGAGAGAGAGAGAGAGAGAGAGAGAGCAAGCAGGGGAGGGGCAGAGAGAGGGAGAGAAUCCCAAGCAGGCUGAGUGCUGUCAGCACAGAGCCCCACAUGGGGCUCAGACUUACAAACCCUGAGGUCAUGAACUAAGCCGAAAGCGAGUCAGACGCUUAACCGACUGAGCCACCCAGGGGCCCCAUAAAACAGUCUCUUUAAAAGCAGAGAAAGGGUGGAGCUUUGCAACUGACAGACACAUACGUUCUAGAGAGUCUGAUGCACAGCACAGCGAUGGCAGGCAGCAAUGUGUAUUACCAACUUCAGAGUUGUUAAAAGACUAGAUCUUAAUUGUUCUCACCACACACCAAAAAGGGUAAUCGUGGGAUGGAGGUGUUAGUGAAUGCUGUGAUGGCAUUUACUGCCACCUAUACGUGUAUCAAAUCAAGACACGGUGCACCUUAAACUGA